CCUACGGGAGGCAGCAGUGGGGGAUAUUGCACAAUGGGGGAAACCCUGAUGCAGCGACGCCGCGUGGGCGAAGAAGUAUUUCGGUAUGUAAAGCCCUAUUAGCAGGGAAGAAGAAAUGACGGUACCUGAGGAAGAAGCACCGGCCAAAUACGUGCCAGCAGCCGCGGUAAUACGUAGGGUGCAAGCGUUAUCCGGAUUUACUGGGUGUAAAGGGCGCGGUGGGGGGACGGCAAGCCAGAUGUGAAAGCCCGCGGCCCAACCGCGGAACUGCAUUGGGAACUACUGGGCUAGAGUGCCGGAGAGGUAGGCGGAAUGCCUGGUGUAGCGGUGAAAUGCGUAGAUAUUAGGAGGAACACCAGUGGCGAAGGCGGCCUACUGGACGGUAACUGACGCUGAGGCACGAAAGCGUGGGGAGCAAACAGGAUUAGAUACCCGAGUAGUC
rnacentral:rRNA from 1 species